GCGGGGGUUGCCGAGCUGGAUAAAGGCGCGGGACUUAAGAUCCCGUCCCGAAGGGGUCCGUGGGUUCGAAUCCCAUCCCCC
rnacentral:tRNA from 1 species